UACAGAGGUCUCAAGCGUUGUUCGGAAUCACUGGGCGUAAAGGGUGUGUAGGUGGCGCGCUAAGUCGGGUGUGAAAUUUCGGAGCUUAACUCCGAAACUGCAUUCGAUACUGGCGUGCUUGAAGACUGGAGAGGAGACUGGAAUUCAUGGUGUAGCAGUGAAAUGCGUAGAGAUCAUGAGGAAGACCAGUGGCGAAGGCGGGUCUCUGGACAGUUCCUGACACUGAGACACGAAGGCCAGGGGAGCAAACGGG
rnacentral:rRNA from 1 species